rnacentral:tRNA from 1 species
UGGGUUGUGGCUCAGUGGCAGAGCGCUCGCCUAGCACGCAAGAGGCAUUGGGUUUGAUCCCAGCACCACAU